ACCUAUAUAGCAGAUGCUCGAUAAAUGUCUGGCAAAUUGACAUGACUUGAAUCUGGUUGAAUUAUCAUAAGAUCUGUCUAAAUGAAGUGGCAUGUGCCUGUAGUCCCAGCUACUCAGGA